GAUGAACGCUAGCGGGAGGCCUAACACAUGCAAGUCGAACGGGAUUGGGAGCUUGCUCCCAUGAGAGUGGCGCACGGGUGAGUAACGCGUAUGCAACCUGCCUAUAACUGAGGGAUAGCCCAUAGAAAUGUGGAUUAAUACCUCAUAGUUCUGAGAUUCCGCAUGGGAAUUCAGAUAAAGCUCCGGCGGUUAUAGAUGGGCAUGCGUGACAUUAGCUAGUUGGUGAGGUAACGGCUCACCAAGGCAACGAUGUCUAGGGGUUCUGAGAGGAUGAUCCCCCGCACUGGUACUGAGACACGGACCAGACUCCUACGGGAGGCAGCAGUAGGGAAUAUUGGUCAAUGGAGGAAACUCUGAACCAGCCAUGCCGCGUGCAGGAUGACGGCCCUCUGGGUUGUAAACUGCUUCUAUACGGGAAGAAAAAGAGCUACGUGUAGCUCAUUGACGGUACUGUAAGAAUAAGGAUCGGCUAACUCCGUGCCAGCCGCCGCCGUAA
rnacentral:rRNA from 1 species